UACGAAGGGGGCUAGCGUUGCUCGGAAUCACUGGGCGUAAAGGGUGCGUAGGCGGGUCUUUAAGUCAGGGGUGAAAUCCUGGAGCUCAACUCCAGAACUGCCUUUGAUACUGAGGAUCUUGAGUUCGGGAGAGGUGAGUGGAACUGCGAGUGUAGAGGUGAAAUUCGUAGAUAUUCGCAAGAACACCAGUGGCGAAGGCGGCUCACUGGCCCGAUACUGACGCUGAGGCACGAAAGCGAUGGGGA
rnacentral:rRNA from 1 species